UUCAAUUUGAAUACAUAGAAGAGAACUUGUACAAUAAGAGUCCUGCGCUUCUCAAGUAUAAUCCAGUUCACAAGAAAGUCCCUGUGCUCGUACACAAUGGAAAGCCGGUUGCAGAGUCACUUGUCAUCCUGGAGUACAUUGAUGAGACCUGGAAACACAACCCCUUCUUGCCUACAGACCCUUACGAAAAGGCCAAGGCACGGUUCUGGGCUAGGUUCAUAGAUGAGAAGGUAAAUCUAAUACUAUUUUGUUUUUCUUUUUUUAAAAAUCAUCUGGGUCUUGUCUCUUUAAGCAUUGGUAAACUUUAUAUGCAUUAUACAGUUCUGGCCGGCAGCAAAAAAGGCUAUGGCGAGUAGGGGAAGGGAGCGAGAGGAAGCGAUUGAAGAAGCUCAGCAGCAUCUGAAAACCCUUGAGAGUGAGCUGAAAGAGAAGAAAAUCUUUGGAAGGGAGAGUUUGGGAUUUGUAGACAUAGCUGCGCAUCUUUUGUUUUGGCUUGUUGUUGCCCAAGAAGCCUUUGGAGUGGAGAUCCUAACUGAGGAGAAGUUUCCCGCCGUGCAUGAAUUGUAUCAAAGGCUCGCAGAUGAGGCUGUUUUCAAGGAAUGUAUGCCACCAAAGGAGCAACUCAUUGCCUAUCUUAAAGUUCGGUUGGGAGCCUGGACUGCUUCCAAAUGAAGAGUUGGUUUAUGUACGUGUCUGAGUUGAUGGGAGAGGAACCUCUUUCUUCUCAUCUACGUAUGUCAAAGUCCUGUAUUUUGAAGUUGUAUCAUGAGCUUUGUCCCGUUUGUGGGUAUGAGAACUUAAAAAUAAAUUGGAGAAGUACUGCACUAAAUGGUACUACGAGGAAGAACACUCCAGCAUUGCUCCUUAAUAAUAGCAUUUCAAUUCUAUGUACAUCGACCUCUAGAUUAGAUUAAUAAAGAUUUGGAUAUAGAGAUGCUUAUGAAAGAGCAGCAUGGCUUGGUUCUGGUUCAGUUCAUGGAUAUGAGAGAAUGUAAGUGACGUUGAGCCUCAACUCUAAUGCUUUAAGGUUGUGUUUUGAAUUUAUGGCAUGGGAUGCUGAUGCUACUUCUAUAUUCUGCUUUGAAUCAUGGGUGUAUAUGGGCAUCACAAAACUAGAAGCUCCGUUUUGCUACAAAAUUUUCAAAACAUUCAAUGUUUCUAUGCCUAUUUUUUAAAAUAAUUGAUUAUAAACAUAUAAAAUAGUAAUUAACAAAAAUGCUCCUUUUACCAAUUUUUGUUUUUAUUCUAUCAUUCUUCCUAUGCUAUUAGGAGCAAAUUCUCUUUUAUUUAACCAUUUUAGGAUUUUUCAUUAUUUUUUAAACUCUUUUAUAAAUAAUUGAAAAAUCAAUAUUAUUUUCGGUUGGUUGCAGAGUCACUUGUCAUCCUGGAGUACAUUGAUGAGACCUGGAAACACAACCCCAUCUUGCCUACAGACCCUUACGAAAAGGCCUUGGCACGGUUCUGGGCUAGGUUCAUA
rnacentral:lncRNA from 1 species